GACGAACGCUGGCGGCGUGCCUAAUACAUGCAAGUCGAGCGGAUUUUUUAGGAGCUUGCUCCUGAAAAGUCAGCGGCGGACGGGUGAGUAACACGUGGGCAACCUGCCCGUAAGAUUGGGAUAACUCCGGGAAACCGGGGCUAAUACCGAAUAGAUUCUUUCCCCACAUGGGGAAAGAGGGAAAGAUGGCUUCGGCUAUCACUUACGGAUGGGCCCGCGGCGCAUUAGCUAGUUGGUGAGGUAACGGCUCACCAAGGCGACGAUGCGUAGCCGACUUGGGAGGGGGAUCGGCCACCCUGGGGCUGGGACACGGCCCAGACUCCUACGGGAGGCAGCAGUAGGGAAUCUUCCGCAAUGGACGAAAGUCUGACGGAGCAACGCCGCGUGGGCGAUGAAGGCCUUCGGGUCGUAAAGCUCUGUUGUUAGGGAAGAACAAGUAUCGGAGUAACUGCCGGUACCUUGACGGUACCUAACCAGAAAGCCACGGCUAACUACGUGCCAGCAGCCGCCGUAACAC
rnacentral:rRNA from 1 species